AGAGUUUGAUCCUGGCUCAGGAUGAACGCUGGCGGCGUGCCUAACACAUGCAAGUCGAACGGUAGCAGGCCUAGUUUACUAGGUGCUGACGAGUGGCGGACGGCUGAGUAACGCGUGGGAAUGUGCCCUAAAGUGAGGGAUAACGCACCGAAAGGUGUGCUAAUACCGCAUAUGGUCUUCGGAUUAAAGAAUUUAUUCGCUUUAGGAGCAGCCCGCGUCGGAUUAGGUAGUUGGUGAGGUAAAGGCUCACCAAGCCCACGAUCCGUAGCUGGUCUGAGAGGAUGACCAGCCAGACUGGAACUGAGACACGGUCCAGACUCCUACGGGAGGCAGCAGUGAGGAAUCUUCCACAAUGGGCGAAAGCCUGAUGGAGCAACGCCGCGUGCAGGAUGAAGGCCUUCGGGUUGUAGACUGCUUUUAUAAGUGAGGAAUAUGACGGUAACUUAUGAAUAAGGAUCGGCUAACUACGUGCCAGCAGCCGCGGUAAUUC
rnacentral:rRNA from 1 species